rnacentral:rRNA from 1 species
GACGAACGCUGGCGGCGUGCUUAACACAUGCAAGUCGAACGGAACGGCCCGGCUUUUGUGGGGUGCUCGAGUGGCGAACGGGUGAGUAACACGUGAGUAACCUGCCCCUGACUUUGGGAUAACUUCAGGACACUGGGGCUCAUACCGCAUAGGAGCUCCUGCUGCAUGGUGGGGGUGGGAAAGUUUCGGCGGUUGGGGAUGGACUCGCGUCUUAUCAGCUUGUUGGGGUGGUAGUGGCUGACCAAGGCUUUGACGGGUAGCCGGGCUGAGAGGGGAACCGGACAAGUCACACUGGAACUGAGACACAGACCAGACUGGGACGCAGGGCAGGAGUAUAGUACAUAGGAGACGGAGCGAUAGUGUGACCACGCCACGUGGGGGAAGAGGGGAAGGGGGUAGUAUAGCACUGCCGUCUGUGACGAGAUGUGAAUGACGGUAACGGGUGAAGAAGCACCGGCUAACUACGUG